rnacentral:rRNA from 1 species
AGAGUUUGAUCCUGGCUCAGAUUGAACGCUGGCGGCAUGGCUAAAACAUGCAAGUCGUGGGAGAAACCUUCGGGUGGACACCGGCGAAAGGGCGAGUAACGGUAUCGAACGUGCCCAGAGGUGGGGGAUAGCGUCGGGAAACUGGCGGUAAUACCCCAUGUGCUCUACGGAGGAAAGCUACGGCGCCUCUGGAGCGGCGAUACUCCUAUCAGGUAGUUGGGGGGGUAAUGGCCCACCAAGCCUUAGACGGGUAGCGGGUGUGAGAGCAUGACCCGCCGCAUCGGAACUGAGACACUGUCCGGACUCCUACGGGAGGCUGCAGUAACGAACCUUCCGCAAUGCACGCAAGUGUGACGGAGCAAUGCCGCGUGUGGGAUGAAGCAGCUUCGCUGUGUAAACCACUGUCAGGGUCUAGGAAGAACUGACCAGACCCAGAGGAAGGGCCGGCUAAUCUCGUGCCAGCAGCCGCGGUAAGACGAGAGGCCCGAGCGUUAUUCGGAAUCACUGGGCUUAAAGCGUCCGCAGGCGGGCGCGCAGGCAUCUCGUGAAAUCCCACGGCUCAACCGUGGAAUUGCGGGGUGAACCGCGUGCCUUGAGGUAGGUAGGGGUCAUCAGAACGUACGGUGGAGCGGUGAAAUGCAUAGAUAUCGUACGGAAUGCCGAAGGUGUAGACAGGUGACUGGGCCUAUCCUGACGCUCAGGGACGAAAGCGUGGGGAUCAAACAGGAUUAGAUACCCUGGUAGUCCACGCCG